rnacentral:rRNA from 1 species
UACGUAGGUGGCAAGCGUUGUCCGGAUUUACUGGGCGUAAAGAGCGCGCAGGCGGUCGUGCAAGUCGCGUGUGAAAGCCCCCGGCUCAACUGGGGAGGGUCACGCGAUACUGAUCGACUCGAAGGCAGGAGAGGGUAGUGGAAUUCCCGGUGUAGUGGUGAAAUGCGUAGAUAUCGGGAGGAACACCAGUGGCGCAGGCGGCGCUCUGGACCGACCCUGACGCUGAGACGCGAAAGCGUGGGUAGCAAACAGG